rnacentral:tRNA from 9 species
GGGUUAGUAGCUUAGUUGGGAGAGCGCGGCACUGAAGAUGCCGAGGUCGCUGGUUCAAGUCCGGCCUAACCCACCA